GACGAACGCUGGCGGCGUGCUUAACACAUGCAAGUCGAACGGAAAGGCCCUGCUCUUGUGGGGUGCUCGAGUGGCGAACGGGUGAGUAACACGUGAGUAACCUGCCCUUGACUUUGGGAUAACUCCAGGAAACUGGGGCUAAUAUCGGAUAGGAGCUCCUGCUGCAUGGUGGGGGUUGGAAAGUUUCGGCGGUUGGGGAUGGACUCGCGGCUUAUCAGCUUGUUGGUGGGGUAGUGGCUUACCAAGGCUUUGACGGGUAGCCGGCCUGAGAGGGUGACCGGCCACAUUGGGACUGAGAUACGGCCCAGACUCGUACGUGAGGCAGCGGUGGGGAAUAUUGCGCAAUGGGCGCAAGCCUGAUGCAGCAACGCCGCGUGCGGGAUGACGGCCUUCGGGUUGUAAACCGCUUUCGCCUGUGACGAAGCGUGAGUGACGGUAAUGGGUAAAGAAGCACCGGCUAACUACGUG
rnacentral:rRNA from 1 species